rnacentral:lncRNA from 1 species
CCCUCCUUUGUGGCACGACAGACGUUCACUUGCACAAGCAUGAAGCUGUUUUCGCUGUUGAUGGCUCUUGCUGUGGCCCUGUCUGGCCUCCUGGGUUCAGCUCAUGCCAUGCCUGACCCCUACCCUGUGGCUGACCCCGUGGCUAACCCUGACCCCGUUGCUGACCCCUGGUUCUUCAAACGCAAAUACUACUACCCCCGCCGUCACUACUACCCAAGCUACCACCACUACCAUCACUGGUGAAGAGGAAACCUUUUUUUUACCUGGAAAACAUUAAUUACCACAACCAGUAAAAAUAUCCUUCAGUGACCUUACAAACCGAUGUCCUAACCUAACCUAAUCUCCAUGUCUCCUUAAACGUACAGUAUAAUAAAAUCCUGUUAGAUA